rnacentral:rRNA from 1 species
UACAGAGGUCUCAAGCGUUGUUCGGAUUCAUUGGGCGUAAAGGGUGCGUAGGCGGCGCGGUAAGUCGGGUGUGAAAUCUUGGAGCUUAACUCCGAAACUGCAUUCGAUACUGCCGUGCUUGAGGACUGGAGAGGAGACUGGAAUUCCUGGUGUAGCGGUGAAAUGCGCAGAUAUCAGGAGGAACACCGGUGGCGAAGGCGGGACUCUGGGCAGAUACUGACGCUGAGGAGCGAAAGCGUGGGGAGCAAACAGG